rnacentral:rRNA from 1 species
UGGGGAAUUUUGGACAAUGGGCGAAAGCCUGAUCCAGCAAUGCCGCGUGUGUGAAGAAGGCCUUCGGGUUGUAAAGCACUUUUGUCCGGAAAGAAAUCCUUGGCUCUAAUACAGUCGGGGGAUGACGGUACCGGAAGAAUAAGCACCGGCUAACUACGUGCCAGCAGCCGCGGUAAUACGUAGGGUGCAAGCGUUAAUCGGAAUUACUGGGCGUAAAGCGUGCGCAGGCGGUUUGCUAAGACCGAUGUGAAAUCCCCGGGCUCAACCUGGGAACUGCAUUGGUGACUGGCAGGCUAGAGUAUGGCAGAGGGGGGUAGAAUUCCACGUGUAGCAGUGAAAUGCGUAGAGAUGUGGAGGAAUACCGAUGGCGAAGGCAGCCCCCUGGGCCAAUACUGACGCUCAUGCACGAAAGCGUGGGGAGCAAAACAGGAUUAGAUACCCUGGUAGUCCACGCCCUAAAACGAUGUCAACUAGUUGUUGGGGAUUCAUUUCCUUAGUAACGUAGCUAACGCGUGAAGUUGACCGCCUGGGGAGUACGGUCGCAAAGAUUAAAACUUAAAGGAAUUGACGGGGUCAUAGCUGUUUCCU